GACGUGUGUGCCAUCUGCCUCGGCGGCAUGGUCCGCGGCCAGGCCAGCUUCACGGCGGAGUGCUCCCACGCCUUCCACCUCAGCUGCAUCUCCGCCAGCGUCGCCCACGGGAACAACACCUGCCCGCUCUGCAAGGCGCCCUGGACCGUCUUGCCGGCCGUGAACGCCCCCGCCCAGGCAGGGGCACCACCGUUCUCCUCAUCGUCGCCGUCGUCCUCGUCCCAACAGGCGCCCCUCACGUACGAUGACGACGAGCCGACCGUCGGGGCGCAGACCGCGGCGGCGACCAACGCCGGUGCGGUUGUCCUCAGGACGCACUGCGAGUGCCCGGCCGUCGCGAGGGCCGCGGUCCGCGAAAACUUCGCGGUGCUCGUGCACGCCAGGGCGCCAUCUUCGGCCGCCUCCGAGGCGGCGCGCGCGCCGCUGGACCUCGUGACGGUGCUCGACGUCAGCGGCAGCAUGUCCGGCCGCAAGCUGGCGCUGCUGAAGCAGGCCAUGGGGUUCGUCAUCGACAACCUUGGAUCCGCCGACCGCCUCUCCGUGGUGUCCUUCUCCAGCAGCGCGAGUCGCCUGAUCCGCCUCGUGCGCAUGUCUGACGCGGGGAAGGCUGCGGCGAAGCGCGCCGUGGAAUCCCUCGCUGCAAACGGCGCCACUAACAUCGGCGAGGGGCUCCGCGUGGCCGCGACCGGCGGCACAUUUUCUUUCAUCGAGAACGAGGCGGUCGUCCAGGAAUCGUUCGCGCUGUGCAUCGGCGGGCUCCUCACGGUCGUCGUCCAGGAGUUGCGCAUCGCGGUGAUGUGCUUGCAUCCCGGCGUGCUCGUCCGGGCGGUCAAAUCUGGACGCUACGCCAACCGGGUGGACUCCUGCGGGCGUUCUGCCUCGGUCGACGUCGGCGAGCUCUAUGCCGACGAGGAGAGGCGGCUCCUCAUAUUCCUGGACGUGCCAGGGGCCGAGGAUGCCGAUGAGGUCACCCGGCUGGUCAAAGCCUCAAAGCGAGUUGCACUUACCGAGAUGCUGCGACAGGGCAGGCGGCCGCCGUCGCGGGAGACGAUG
rnacentral:rRNA from 1 species